UGGGGAGACGGGUGGAGAGCGCCGGAGGGGGAAUAGGAGGAGGGGUGGUUUGGGUUUUUGGUUUUGCUAAACUUGGGUCUCUGGGAAUUGGUGUGUUACACGGUAGUUCCGGCCUGCGGUCUCUUCCAUGAGGACGAGAGUUUCUGACCCACAGGAAGGUGCUAUCAACAGGCAGAGUCAAACGCUCAACAGAAGCUUUCUGAGUCCUGUGUUCCUGACUCUCCACGAUUAUUCCAGCAAGCAGGAUCGUUGUCAGACUGCUAGUUUUCUUUUGUGAUGUGAUUGAGCAUUACUGCAACUCGAAUGUCAGUACAAUUCUCACGUCCGUCUACAUUUCUCCAUUAAACAUGCUGGAACGUG